GUGGGGAAUAUUGGACAAUGGGGGGAACCCUGAUCCAGCCAUGCCGCGUGUGUGAAGAAGGCCUUUUGGUUGUAAAGCACUUUAAGCGAGGAGGAGGCUACCGAGAUUAAUACUCUUGGAUAGUGGACGUUACUCGCAGAAUAAGCACCGGCUAACUCUGUGCCAGCAGCCGCGGUAAUACAGAGGGUGCAAGCGUUAAUCGGAUUUACUGGGCGUAAAGCGCGCGUAGGUGGCCAAUUAAGUCAAAUGUGAAAUCCCCGAGCUUAACUUGGGAAUUGCAUUCGAUACUGGUUGGCUAGAGUAUGGGAGAGGAUGGUAGAAUUCCAGGUGUAGCGGUGAAAUGCGUAGAGAUCUGGAGGAAUACCGAUGGCGAAGGCAGCCAUCUGGCCUAAUACUGACACUGAGGUGCGAAAGCAUGGGGAGCAAACAGGAUUAGAAAACCGAGUAGUCC
rnacentral:rRNA from 1 species